CAAACGACUCUCGGCAACGGAUAUCUUGGCUCACGCAUCGAUGAAGAACGUAGCAAAAUGCGAUACUUGGUGUGAAUUGCAGAAUCCCGUGAACCAUCGAGUUUUUGAACGCAAGUUGCGCCCGAAGCCUUUUGGCCGAGGGCACGUCUGCCUGGGCGUCACAC
rnacentral:rRNA from 5 species